UGCAUCUCUCGGGUACUCUGUCCUGACAGGGGAAGCAAAGCCACCAGAGUUUCUGUGCUCAUUUGCAAACAGGACUUGCUGAUUCCAAAGCGAAAGAUGAUUGCUCCAAGGUCAGACUCCUCUUCUCCUGCUUGGGCUGGAAAGUACAGCAAAGCACGAGGGGGCCCAUGGAAGCAAAUGGAGUACGGCACCACUGAUUGAGGUUCAGGAAAGGUGUCCCUACCUCUGCCAUUGCUCGUGGAUGCCCCAUAUGGCUGCGCAGUGUCCUCCUACCUGUUUUGGAAAGCGGGUCAGAGAUGCCCCAAGGAAGCAUGUGCUGGAGAUGUGAAGGAAAAACUCUUGCCCUUCAAACACAUGGCGGCUCCAGUGCAGGAUACACUGAUGUCACGUCUGCACCACAAACUCCACGAAAAGCUACGCUUGUCCACAGCUCCUUACUCUGCAGCAGUGGUGCAAUGAGUGGCCUGUAUAUAGAACAUCACUGCCAAGAGCUCAUCAGUUCUGAUCUUGUAAUUGUGCUUAAUGAUUGCUGAAAGGAACCAAACAAUCACGAGUGAACUUCAGCUUCCCUGGUAAUUAAUAUUGUUAUUACAGAAUUGUUAAUAAUUAUUAGACUCUGGCAAUCUAGGAAGCAUCAAAGAUUUUAAGCAUCUCCAGGAAGACACACAGCCUGCUCAACUUCUGUUUCGUGGUUUACAGCUUUGUCCUUACUUUGAACGUACCUCUGACUAAUGCCAGCCCUGGUAUGAGCCCAGAAAAGCCUUCUAAUUGCUCACAAGAAACUCUGCUAAUUUCAGACAUACACAAAUUCAGCCUUGAGACAAUCUUUGUUUUGGGGACAUGCUCUGCUGUCCUAGGAGAAACAUGCAUGGCUUUUGUGCAUUGCAGGUGCCACUACGGGCAAUACGCAAGCAAGGGCUGCUUGGUGUCACGGCAAAUUUUCACACGAGCAGUGCAAAACUGAAAUUUUUCUUACAGGUUGCUAAACACCAAAUUUGCAAUUGCAUUCGCUGUAUGCAAACAGGCCUGCUAUUUUGCGUGUUUUGUUGACUGCAAUAUAUUUGGCAUGCAAAAGCUGUGUCUUCAGGGAUUUUUUUUUAAAUAAGUAGUCUGGACGUAUUGUAAGAGACAAAGUAAUUAGCAUUCACUCAGCCCAGCAGGGCAGCAAUUUAAACUUUUACAAGGAGUCAAAGUUCAGGAUGCUGCCCUGCCAUCAACUUUCUACAUACAGAAGGGAUACAGACUGGAAUAUCCAAACGUUUCAAGCUACUCUGGGUUAUUUGAAACUCCAACAGACACAUUACUAUGGGGAAAUUGCUUAAUCUGCUCCAGGAUUUAUUGCUAUUGUAUGUUCAGUAUGGAGGUCUUGGAGGGUCAGAAAGGGCUGCGUUCAGUGCAAGUAUUUUAUACCACAUUAAAAAGUUUCUGACCAUACCUUUAAUCCUCAAUAUCAUUACAUCCUAUUUUUAUGCAGACAUGCCUAUAAAAACACUCCACAAAAUGAAUCUCCAUUUACACCCUGCUCACAAUAAUCCCACAGUGUGGGGAAAGGAGGAAGGCGAAGCACUGCUGCUUGCUUCAAUCCAGGAAAAGGCAAGUUUGUUGUCAUAUAAAGCAAAUAAAUAGAAAAGUCAGAAGGGAAAAAAAAAAAAAAAAGUCCUACUGCGUUGGAUUGAUUUAAGAGUAAGUGCAUGCUGCCAGAGAAAUAGAUUUUUUUCACCCGUUAGGCAGUCAUUUUUACAAAUGUGCAAUGUGAGUACUGAUUAAAGCUUACAGAGAAAAGAACAUUUUUUCCCCCUGGUUUUUUUUUUUUGUUGUUGUUGUUUGUUUGUUUUUUGUUUGUUUUGGUUUUUUGUUCAUCCCACCCAUUGCUCCCCAUGGCAUGACCCUACUCUACCCCCCGCAUCUGCUUGGGGUUGCUGGCAGGGAGGACAGGAACCCAGCCCCUGCCCACCCCAGGGAGGAAAAUCCAGUGCCCCAGGCUUGUGGGGGGAUGGCUUGGGGGGUUUCAGGAGGGGACGGGGAAGACUGCAGCUGGUCACUAGGAGAGGAAAAUACUUUGCCCUGCUUAGCAUAAUUAUUUGGGGCUUUCAGAGAGAAAGCAGUAAUGAAUCUUUUUGUUCUUUUUCCCGCCACCCCAGGCUUUCACUUGUAAGAGCAGGUAAAACCAACUAGAAAGAGGAGAUGAGAAAGAAAUAUAUAACACUACAUUCGUUUUGUGGAUGAGUCACACUCAGUGAAAGCAAAACAACCUGAGCAGGAAGGAAACUUGGGUACCACAGACCUAAAUAUAACAAAAAAUCUGGGUGAAAACCAGUCUUGUUUGAUUGCCCUGAAAAGUAUUGUCUCAUUCUGCUGGCUUUACCUGGUAAAAAAACAGUGAGAAAUUUCAUUAUGUGUUUUGGUGGCAUCUUUGCACCUCAGAGAAAUAAAUUCAAAAGCAAAAACCAAAAGCACAAGGAAUCAGCACAUCAAGAGUUUAGGCCUCUUGCAGGAACAAGAAUAAUUUUUUUACAUUCCCAACCUUUACAGGAGUUUCAAAUUAAAAAGAAAACUUUAAUGCCUUGUUUGCAAGUAAGAGUAUCAUCUCUCAGGUUCUCGCUAUUUCCUAUUUGCCAAGCAAAACAAACUUUGAAAACAAACAGUUCAGCUCUUUCCCAUCUCCAGAAGACCUAGUGAAGGUUACCGACUUGCAGCAGAGCUGCCACGUGCAAAACUGGGCAGAAACAAUCCCCCGCACCCCCACCUUCACUUCACAGACGAAGGGAAUUUCCUACCUUCCCAUUUUACAUAAGGCAGCACAAGACAUUAAGUAAUUUUUGAGUCAGUAAUUCAGGCUGCCCUGUGACUGCAGGAGGAGGUGGGGAUGGCCAAAUGGGUGCUUCACUUCAUUAGCAUACCCUACGAUGCUUCCUCCUAAAACAGGACUGACUUUCUCCACCACCAACACACACACACCCCCCUGACCCAAUGCAAAUUUCUACUAGCUUAAGUCAUUAGUGUGGUCCAAAGAGUUAACUUCAUUCUCUUCCUCAUUUUAAACUUAUCGUAUUUCUUCUUGUGGGCAAAUUACUGCCGGAGGAGUGUGAUGAGAGAAUAGGUUUCCUAAAUAUUUAUGGAUUAGCCCAAACUAAGCGGUGGGGCGAGGGUGUGUGUGUGUGUAGUAAUCAUAUGAUAUUUUCAGCCUCCUUGCCUCUAAGAGGCGUGAAGGGUUCAGAUACCUGACUGCUGAUCUCUAGCACUUAUGGAAACGAUCAGAGAUCAACAGGGUCUUCUUGUCCAGUGAGGUCCAUACCAGCAGCCCUGUUAAUACCUGCGGCUGGGGUGCAGGGACCCGUCACCCCUAUACAGAUCCUUUAACCCCAGAGCCAAACUCUGAUAAAAACCCAAGCAAGGCUUUCUUUGCCUUCAUUAAGGCCCGUUCCUGUCACACAUUUAGACAAACUCUUACUCCUAAAUUUUCCUUUUUCUGCCAAAAGCACAUUUUCUAAUUGAAAAGAGAGGUAACUUGUUUUAGUGUCACAGGCUGUAAUUAAGCAUAGUUUGUCUAGAAUAGCUCCAGGGUUUAUUUAUUAUUUAUUAAAGAAAGGUUAGUUAUUUAUUGGGGGGGAAGACACAUCGGUAGUUGCAACUUCACAGAAUAAAUCACAUGGCCCAUCACUCAACCUGCUUUAGGACAUUAGUGGAUUACUACUGGGGUCAGGAAAAAAUUUUCUUUUACUGAUAAAGUGUUAUAUAAUAAGGAUAUUUUUUGAUAGUUUCAAGUCUCCCUUGAAGCUGUGGCUCUUUCUGGUCACUAUUCAAGGACAAAACAUUGGCUUUGUUUAAGGUGGGGGGAGAGGAAUAAAACACAGGUCUUACUUUGAACCUUACACACAAGAGUGCUCCGACAUCACUGUGACAAGCACCAUAAAUGGUGCAGAGGACAGGCUGCUGAAGUCCCCGCUGAAGACAUUUUUUCCUUCCCUCUGGCAGAGGGGAAGAUCUACCACCACAUGUGAGGAUAAGCCCUGGUGCAAAUGGACUGGUGUGCAGGGAGACAUCCUCUGGGAAGAGUGACAUUGUCUCUCCAGAUAUGCCCAUCUAGCUACUCACAAGCAAAAGACAGAGCGCCAUCCUGGGAUCUUGUCACAUCCAUCUUGCACAAGGAGAAGAAACCUGACAGUGCCUGGGAUGGCUUGGCAAGAAGAAGCAACAAAGAGCAGUCAGGAAGGGAAGCAGAGAAGAGAUGCAUCUCUCAGCAGUGAAGAGAUGCAUCUUGACAGACUCCCCCUCUCAUUCUCCAAACUCCAGGCCCAGCUGGACUCAAAGUCCCAACUGCUCUCCCCAUCAGGAUGGGGGACGUGGGAAGUGCGUGGCUGGUAAUACACCCGACAGGCUCAAAGGGAUCCGAGAACACCCUCAGGUUCACAAGCACCCGGAGUUUGCCAAAUCAUUUCAGCUCAUCUCUAAUUGUCAGCGAUCUCUAUUAGCUCAGUAGUGUGGCUUUGACAUAAGGAUGAACAGAAGGGUUGUUACUGGCUAGUGAUAGGAGAGGAGCUUCUGGUCCAAGGAAGAAAAGCAUCUUCCAUGGCAGAAGGAGAAUCUUUUUUUCCUUUCCACAUAGGCUAUACUAUAUGAGAAGGCUAACCGACAGAAGACAAAGGGACUGCACAACGGAUGUCCAUCAGCUUAAACUUUUCCUAAUAUCACAUAAAUAAAAAUAAUUUUUGAAAAGG